rnacentral:rRNA from 1 species
GAUGAACGCUGGCGGCGUGCCUAAUACAUGCAAGUCGAGCGAACAGACGAGGAGCUUGCUCCUCUGACGUUAGCGGCGGACGGGUGAGUAACACGUGGAUAACCUACCUAUAAGACUGGGAUAACUUCGGGAAACCGGAGCUAAUACCGGAUAAUAUAUUGAACCGCAUGGUUCAAUAGUGAAAGACGGCUUUGCUGUCACUUAUAGAUGGAUCCGCGCCGCAUUAGCUAGUUGGUAAGGUAACGGCUUACCAAGGCGACGAUGCGUAGCCGACCUGAGAGGGUGAUCAGCCACACUGGAACUGAGACACGGUCCAGACUCCUACGGGAGGCAGCAGUAGGGAAUCUUCCGCAAUGGGCGAAAGCCUGACGGAGCAACGCCGCGUGAGUGAUGAAGGUCUUCGGAUCGUAAAACUCUGUUAUUAGGGAAGAACAAAUGUGUAAGUAACUAUGCACGUCUUGACGGUACCUAAUCAGAAAGCCACGGCUAACUACGUG